GACGAACGCUGGCGGCGUGCUUAACACAUGCAAGUCGAACGGUGAAGCGCCUUCCUUUGUGGUGGGUGUGGGUGAGUGGCGAACGGGUGAGUAACACGUGGGUAACCUGCCCCCUUCUGCUGGAUAACCGCAGGAAAUUGUGGCUAAUACGGGAUAUUCUGGGUCUGUAGCAUGAUGGGUCGGGUUAAGUUGUUGUUUCGGUGGGGGAUGGGCGCGCGGCCUAUCCGCUUGUUGGUGGGGUGAUGGCCUACCAAGGCGGUGACGGGUAGCCGGCCUGGGCGGGUGGACGGUCACACUGGGACGGAGACACGGCCCAGACUGCAACGGGAGACAGCAGUGAGGACUAUGGCACAAAGGGCGCAAGAAUGAUGCAGCGACGCCGCGUGAGGGAUGGAGGCCUUCGGGUUGUGAACCUCAUUCGCUAGUGAAGCAGGCCUGCCUCGUUUGUGGGUGGGUUGACGGUAGCUGGAGAAGAAGCGCCGGCUAACUACGUG
rnacentral:rRNA from 1 species